GUGCUCACCUUGGCCACACCUACACUAAAACUGGAACGAUGCAGAGAAGGUUAGCAAGGCCUCACACAAGGAUGACACACAAACCUGUGAAGCGUUCCGUAUUUGU